GGUCGUUUAGCUCAGUCGGUUAAUCGUGCCGGGUUCGUGCUAAUAACGCGAGGGUCGCAGGUUCGAGCCCUGCAUCGACCA